UACGUCGAGUAUUUUAAAUACCUUUCGACGUUUUUAACAAAUAUUCAGAAUAAUUUUUUCACAGAUAUCGUUAUCAUCAAUCAAACCUAAAUCCUUUGGAUACCCAUCUUUUCUUCUUUUCAGCGAUUUAGCAGAUAUGCCAUCAAAUCAUGAUCAUCUCAACCUUAAAAGUAAAGGUUCAGUAGCUUAGAGAUAGAGGCAUCAUCAACAACAAAUGGACAUCAUCAACAAAUGCGAUCCAGAUCGGAAGCAUAAAAAACACGUCAGGAGAAGAUACGUCGCGAGAAAGAAAUAAAACAAAAACUACAACUCACUGACGGUGAUGGACAGCAUGGGCAACAAACCAAAUUUACAUGUCUCAGCUAUCAGGGCUAAAGGAUCCCGCUCAUCUGCACAGAAAGCACGCCAAAGAACGGUAGUGCAACAGCGCCGGGAGGAAAAGGAUGAGAACCAGACACAUCGUACAAGGACAGACCUGAAGAGGAAAGAUGCACCUUUAAAAGAGGUAUGCACAAUGCACUGAUUUGCAUUGACAAAACUGGGUGCAAAGUCGACAAUUUUGGAAUCAUUAAAUCUAACAGGAUAGCACUGUUUUUAGGGCCACCGACAUGUUUCUGCAGCAACUUAUUUAUUUCUGUUUCGGCAGGCCUUCUUCUUCUUUUAGUAAUUCAAAUCUUUGCUACUCCUACCUUAAUAAGAUUCUAAGAAGAAGAAGAAUUUAAGAGAGACGAUCAGGAGUUUGCAACCAUGAUAGUAGGUAAGGACCCUCAUCAAUAAUAUAAUGCGCUCUUCAUGAAACAAAAUACUAUUUUGCUUGUUGUUUGAGUAAUUCGAGUCAUCCUUUUGGACAUUCGACACUUGACUGCUGAUACUCAAUCCCCUCUGCAUGGGAGAGAGGUUUAAUAUUUUCCGCGAACUCAUUUAGAUUUGGACCAUUUGCUGAUUCUAAUUUGCAGCGCUGACAAUUCUUAGGUUGUGGUCUCUCAACAUUGCUCUGGCCGCAAAAACUCUACUCUUUUAACUUUGUUUGUUCGUUUCUUAAAUGGGUUUUUGGUUUUACAUUGGUUUUUUAAUUUUUUAAUAAAUUUUCUGAGUAGCAACAUUUCAUUUCUAGAGAUGAUCAGCAUGGUGACAAAUGUGGAUGGUUAACCAAAGAACUGUCCAACUAAUUGUAGAGCUUAUGAGAAAUUAUUAUUCCAUAGAAUCAUGGUAAUUGUAGCCAAUGUUUCAUAUCUUGAAUCCGCAUUAGUAGUUUCCAGUCAUUAGAUCUUCAUGACGUCGUUUAUGCAAAUAAUGACGAGCCAUGCAUCACUCAAGAACAAAGACAUGAAGACAAUCUUUAUGUUCUCGGCGAUGACCCAGUAGAAAGUGUGUAUUAUAAAAUCAAUGGUGUGGCGUCUCCCACCGUAUUUCUCUCCUUUAAGAAAAACAGUUUCAAGAUUUUUUUUCUCCUUAGCUGGCAUCCACAAAUGACCAACUUAUAGCUUGGAAUCGCACAGUGAGUAUUUUAUGAUGACAUUAAGAUAACAAGGAGAGUGCACGUGCAAUGCACGUCGUCCAAUUUCAGGUCCGCCAACCGUGAAGACGAUUUAGAAAAGCGAGAAUUGCAGGAAAAACGAUGAAGGAGUAGGGCAGUUCUAUGUUAAUGUCCCUAUACAUGUUUAUGAUUUCAAACACACCCCUAAAAUAAUUGGCAUAUCUAACAGAUGUCCUUUCCAAUCUAACAGAUGAGAUAUAAAAACGAAUGAUAUCUAACGGCUAACCUGAAUAGUUCACACGGGAAUAUUUUUCGAAAUGAGCUCAGAUCUGACGACUGAAUUUGUACCACAGGAAAUCUGACGCCUAUAAAGAGUGAAGCUUAAGAAUCUAUUGCUCUCAUUAAAGGGGGGAGAUGAAACCAUAUUGCAGUUGUUCCAUCUUAAGCUUCUUUCACUCUUUUCAUUUCAACUUUCGAUCGUGUAGUAAUUAGUUCUUUUCGCUAAUUAUUUGUUGAGAAAUGCUCGGAGGAAAUCUAAUAAAUACUUGCAUUUCCAUAUUUUGACAGGUUUAGAGAAGAGACAUAAGAUAAAUAAUAUUGUAUCCUCAUGGGUCUUCAAACUAUGCGAGAAUCUAUGUUUUGUUUCGUUUCUUUUCUUUUCUUUUUGGUUUAGCGAUAAGAAAAUCUCUUUUGCUAAGAUGUCGUUGCUUAUUUGGAAAACACAUGGUCUAUAUUAUUAACAUUUGCUUCCCUAGGAGGUCUGUCAAUGGGAUUUUAAUUUGAUUAAUCAACUUUCAGGAGCUCUACACUCAACUUUGCCAAAGGUGGAAAGCUGCUCAUGACUUUGUUGCUGAAGAUGACUGCUUACAUUAUUAUAAGUAAGCUAAAGGUAAAUUCUCUACUUUUGUAUCCUUUUAUUUGUAUGAAUGAAGUGCGCUCAAUUGUCAUUAUACGAAUUCCCACUUAUAUUAGGAAAUGAUUUUUUGUUGUCUUAACUCAAAUGGUAGAGCACAUGGUUCUCAUGCAGUUGUGGGUUCGACUCCCACAGAUAGCACACUUAAUUGAGUAGGCUAAAACCUUACAUGCUUUCGAUAAAAAUAUUACAUAUGCAAUACAUGGUGCACCACAUAGGUAUGUUUAAAUAACAUGCCAUAUAUUAGCUUGGUUUCUGUAGCAAAAGAACACCAACGAUCCUAACAUUAGCAAAUGUAGAUUUGUUGCUUCUCUUUUUUUGAUAUUGAAGUGAAAAUAGCAUAAUCCCAGCUCAAAUUUGUCCAAGAAAGGAAGUAACUGUGUGAUGGAAAAGGAGGUAGAUUCUAUGCGCUUAGUAACCCUUUAAGGGGAUGCCUGUGAGGUACUCCCAUUUAAUGAAGAGUAAUUGCGCGGAUCCCAUCGUAAUGACAUGCAUAAAGUUGCAGAGAACACUCAUGGGAACGACCAAGUAUAUCUCAGUGGAAGUUACAAUACAGUACGUAAGAUCCAAAAUUCAGAAUUCCCGUGUUCAUUUUUUAAUGGCAGUCCAUUGAGGUUGUAAAAUAAAACUGGUAAUACACACAUGAUAUGAACAUUUGUCCUUGACCUCCCAAAUUUAGCUAUAAUCUGUAAUUGGAAUUUGCUUUCCAAAAAUGGUAUACGGUUUAUGAACGAGAUAUUGAGUUAUUAUGAGGGAUCUUGAAAUUUAUGAUGCAAUCAGAUAAUCCGGUUGAUAAAAUGUGAUAGGAAUCAGUGUUACACAAUAAGAAUCAAUGAAGUUCCGGUUAGCAUCCAACAUUUCUUCAUUUAGUUUGACAAUCAACUCUAAAAAAUUUUGUGUUCACUUUUUAAUGGU